AUCGCUUCUUGGCCUUUAGGCUAAGAUCAAGUGUAAUUUGGUCUGUUUAAUAAACUCUAACAUUUAAAUUGGAUAACCAAUUUCAGUCAACUUUUUGUUUCACACAAU
rnacentral:snRNA from 1 species